GAUGAGGUCCUCCGAGACCUUCAGGAUUAAAAGGGAACCGGGUGUGAUUCCCGGACAGUCCCGCUGCUGUGAAGCUCCGCCAACCGCUCGAUUUUCUGAACCACUGAUCCCCUGCGGAUCGGGAAGGCAUCGGGCGGGGAGUCAGUCAGAAGACCUGCCGUCGAUUGUUG
rnacentral:ncRNA from 1 species